rnacentral:rRNA from 1 species
CACGGAGUUAGCCGGGGCUUAUUCUCCCGGUACAGUCAUUAUCUUCUCGGGUAAAAGAGCUUUACAACCCUAGGGCCUUCAUCACUCACGCGGCAUUGCUGGAUCAGGGUUUCCCCCAUUGUCCAAUAUUCCCCACUGCUGCCUCCCGUAGGAGUCUGGGCCGUGUCUCAGUCCCAGUGUGGCUGAUCAUCCUCUCAGACCAGCUAUGGAUCGUCGGCUUGGUAGGCCUUUACCCCACCAACUACCUAAUCCAACGCGGGCUCAUCCUCUGGCGAUAAAUCUUUGGACUUACGUCAUCAUCCGGUAUUAGCAGCCGUUUCCAGCUGUUAUUCCGAACCAAAGGGCAGAUUCCCACGCGUUACGCACCCGUGCGCCACUAAACCCCGAAGGAUCUCGUUCGACUUGCAUGUGUUAGGCAUGCCGCCAGCGUUCGUUCUGAGCCAGGAUCAACUC